AUUGAACGCUGGCGGCAUGCUUUACACAUGCAAGUCGAACGGUAACAGGCCUUCGGGUGCUGACGAGUGGCGAACGGGUGAGUAAUGCAUCGGAACGUGCCCAGAGGUGGGGGAUAACGCAGCGAAAGCUGUGCUAAUACCGCAUGUGAUCUGAGGAUGAAAGCGGGGGACCAGGCAGCAAUGUUUGGCCUCGCGCCUUUGGAGCGGCCGAUGUCAGAUUAGGUAGUUGGUGGGGUAAAGGCCUACCAAGCCGACGAUCUGUAGCUGGUCUGAGAGGACGACCAGCCACACUGGGACUGAGACACGGCCCAGACUCCUACGGGAGGCAGCAGUGGGGAAUUUUGGACAAUGGGCGCAAGCCUGAUCCAGCAAUGCCGCGUGCGGGAAGAAGGCCUUCGGGUUGUAAACCGCUUUUGUACGGAACGAAAAGGCUCUGGCUAAUACCUGGGGCUGAUGACGGUACUGUAAGAAUAAGCACCGGCUAACUACGUG
rnacentral:rRNA from 1 species